rfam:Myotis lucifugus cont2.26355, whole genome shotgun sequence.
GCCAGUGUUGCUCAGUGGUUAGAGUGGUUGGCCUGAGCACCAAAGAGUCACAGGUUCAAUUCCGGUCAAGGGCA